rnacentral:rRNA from 1 species
GACGAACGCUGGCGGCGUGCUUAACACAUGCAAGUCGAACGGAAAGGCCCUGCUUUUUUGGGGUGCUCGAGUGGCGAACGGGUGAGUAACACGUGAGUAACCUGCCCUUGACUUUGGGAUAACUUCAGGAAACUGGGGCUAAUACCGGAUAGGAGCUCCUGCUCCAUGGUGGGGGUUGGAAAGUUUCGGCGGGUGGGGAUGGACUGGCGGGUUAUCGGCUUGUUGGUGGGGUAGUGGCUUACCAAGGCUUUGACGGGUAGCCGGCCUGAGAGGGUGACCGGGCACAUUGGGACUGCGAGACGCAGCAGUGUCGAAUGGUAGGCAGCAGGGGGGAAUAUUGCACAAUGGGCGGACGCCUGAUGCAGAAACGCCGCGGGCGGGAUGACGGCUUGUGGGGUGAAAACAGCUUUCGCCUGUGACGAAGCGGGAGUGACGGUAAUGGGUAAAGAAGCACCGGCUAACUACGUG